CAGAGGGACUCAGAGCAACUGAGUGACAUUUUGGAGAGCAGCUGCAGCUUAUGGAGACAUUUUGGAGAACGCCUAGGAGCAAGCAAAUGCUUAGGAACGUCCUGGGAGAAAGCCAUUUUGAUACCAGAACUCCAGAGCAGACACCAGCGACGUGCCUUCCCAGCUAACAGAGGCUUUCAGAUGCCAUCAGCCAUCCUCCAGUGAAGAAACACAGGUUGAAAUGUUGAUGCCUGAACGAUGUCUGAGAUUUGCUUCGAGGCUGCCGUGUGUGGGAAGCUGCUGAGCAAGCUUGGAAGCGCAUCCUCCAGGUCAGCUCUUCAGAGACCACAACCUCCUGGGAGACCCAGGACCACCCAACCAAGCUGCUCCCUGACCUCAGAAGCCACACGAGAUAAACUUGGCCAGGUGAUGGUGUGCAGGUGUCUGGUCAAGCAAGCACUGGCCUGUUACUGCAAGCACUUUUGUGGCUGUUAAUAAACCAGAAGGCUGGUUUAUUAAAUCAUCAGUCAGUUGGCGGCAGCUGCGACUGAUGAUGCCAAUGAAGGGCGUGUCUGCCACAAUGAGAGAAUCUAAUCAGCUGGAUUUAAUCCAAUCAGUUGGAAGACUUUUAAGGGAGAAGGAGAGAACCUUCACUUCCUCAGACAGCCUCUCCUGGGGUUUCAUCGAAGAGGUUCAUCAGAGUGGCCAGCUCACCACCGGCCGUGUGGAAUUUGGUGGCUUCGUGCAUCCCCACAGUUGCCUGAGACGCUUUUUAAAAAUCUUAUAUUUACAGGGGUGCGCCGAGAACGGCUUCGGGCGGGAUCCGAGUUUCACAGGAGCAGCUUCGGCGUAGCGAACACCCACUGGGCACGGAGGCCUUGCACGAGAAGCGGACGGGCCCGACUCUGCACAGAGGACCCCAGUCAUCGCG